AAUCAAUAUACUACACCAGUUUGUAUUUAGCCUUGUCAAAAGACAAUAUUUAUUUAAACGGUUGUCUACCAAAUUCUGUGUUUGUUUCUUUGCUGAGCGAGAAAUUUUCUGGCUGCUUGCCAAAGUAUGGCUGAACCAACCGAUAUCAAGGACGGUUUUAUACAAGAAAGUAAUUACCAUAUAUUACAAGACGUUUUCACACUGGGGAAUAAAUCAGACUAAUAAGACAUUGCUCAGUAAUAGUUACAGUAAAUGAAACAUACGAUGAAUACCCGUCUGUUAACUUCUUGGUUAGUUCUCUUGAUGGUUUGUAUUGUCUACGUCAAAUCAGAAUGGAAGGAUCCGGGAACACCUUUAAAAUCACCAUUUGCUCCACCAGAAGGAAAAAGAGUUCAAGUGGCCAAGAACUCCGGCAAUCUCCACAGAUCUGAUACACGAAAGCAUGGCCAUUCCAAGGAUAAACAUAUUCACCAUGAUCCACGUGGUGAUAAAAUACUAUCUACAAGGAGAAAGGUUUCAGGCCAGUGCGCUGGUAGGUCAUACGUACCUCGAACCCAUAUAUGUUGUAAUGGAAAAAUUAUUCGCCGACAAGGUAUGAGACCAGCUUGCUGUGGUGAUGUAGUUUACGACUUUGUGUUUGAUCUUUGUUGUGAAAAAAAUGAAGUUAGACCAAGAACUGUUGGAAGACCAUUUUGUUAAACACUGUUUUUAAUACUUAAAUCUCUAUGAAACACAUUCACUAACAUUUAGAGAAACUCAUUGUUCCAAACUACAUUCCUUUUGACAAUUUCCAUGUUAUCUAUUUUAAAAAUCAAGGAAUUACACCAUAUUGUGUUUUAUUGCUUUACGUGUCUUACAUUUUGUAGUUAUAGAUAACAAAUAAAUUUUUAUUCACA